GGGUAGCCGAGUGGACAAGGCACCUGCCCGGUAAGCAGAAGGGUGUGGGUUCGAUUCCCCACCCCCC